rnacentral:tRNA from 1 species
CACUAGAUGACUGAAAAUUAAGUAAUGAUCUCUUAAAUCAUUUUAUGGUAUAUUUAUAAAUACCUCUAGUGA